rnacentral:rRNA from 1 species
CAGCCGCCACGGUAACACGAAGGGGGCUAGCGUUGUUCGGAAUAACUGGGCGUAAAGGGCGCGUAGGCGGAUCUUUAAGUCAGGGGUGAAAUCCCAAGGCUCAACCUUGGAACUGCCUUUGAUACUGGAGAUCUUGAGUCCGGGAGAGGUGAGUGGAACUGCGAGUGUAGAGGUGAAAUUCGUAGAUAUUCGCAAGAACACCAGUGGCGAAGGCGGCUCACUGGCCCGGUACUGACGCUGAGGCGCGAAAGCGUGGGGAGCAAACAGGAUUAGAUACCCCAGUAGUCCCUGUCUCUUAUAC